rnacentral:rRNA from 1 species
GGGUUGUGAGGUUAAGCGACUAAGCGUACACGGUGGAUGCCCUGGCAGUCAGAGGCGAUGAAGGACGUGCUAAUCUGCGAUAAGCGCCGGUAAGGUGAUAUGAACCGUUAUAACCGGCGAUUUCCGAAUGGGGAAACCCAGUGUGACUCGUCACACUAUCAUUAACUGAAUCCAUAGGUUAAUGAGGCGAACCGGGGGAACUGAAACAUCUAAGUACCCCGAGGAAAAGAAAUCAACCGAGAUUCCCCCAGUAGCGGCGAGCGAACGGGGAGGAGCCCAGAGCCUGAAUCAGCAUGUGUGUUAGUGGAAGCGUCUGGAAAGGCGCGCGAUACAGGGUGACAGCCCCGUACACAAAAGCGCAUGUGCUGUGAGCUCGAUGAGUAGGGCGGGACACGUGGUAUCCUGUCUGAAUAUGGGGGGACCAUCCUCCAAGGCUAAAUACUCCUGACUGACCGAUAGUGAACCAGUACCGUGAGGGAAAGGCGAAAAGAACCCCGGCGAGGGGAGUGAAAAAGAACCUGACACCGUGUACGUACAAGCAGUGGGAGCACAGGUUUACCUGUGUGACUGCGUACCUUUUGUAUAAUGGGUCAGCGACUUAUAUUCUGUAGCAAGGUUAACCGUAUAGGGGAGCCGGAGGGAAACCGAGUCUUAAUUGGGCGUUAAGUUGCAGGGUAUAGACCCGAAACCCGGUGAUCUAGCCAUGGGCAGGUUGAAGGUUGGGUAACACUAACUGGAGGACCGAACCGACUAAUGUUGAAAAAUUAGCGGAUGACCUGUGGCUGGGGGUGAAAGGCCAAUCAAACCGGGAGAUAGCUGGUUCUCCCCGAAAGCUAUUUAGGUAGCGCCUCGUGAAUUCAUCUCCGGGGGUAGAGCACUGUUUCGGCUAGGGGGCCAUCCCGGCUUACCAACCCGAUGCAAACUGCGAAUACCGGAGAAUGUUAUCACGGGAGACACACGGCGGGUGCUAACGUCCGUCGUGAAGAGGGAAACAACCCAGACCGCCAGCUAAGGUCCCAAAGUCAUGGUUAAGUGGGAAACGAUGUGGGAAGGCCCAGACAGCCAGGAUGUUGGCUUAGAAGCAGCCAUCAUUUAAAGAAAGCGUAAUAGCUCACUGGUCGAGUCGGCCUGCGCGGAAGAUGUAACGGGGCUAAACCAUGCACCGAAGCUGCGGCAGCGAACGUAUCACCCAAGACAACUUUACGGAGUUGACGAUUGACGGAGCGAAGCGACGUCAAAGCGUUCAUUAAAGUCGAGUUGGCUUAGGGAUACGUUCGUUGGGUAGGGGAGCGUUCUGUAAGCCUGUGAAGGUGUGUCGUGAGGCAUGCUGGAGGUAUCAGAAGUGCGAAUGCUGACAUAAGUAACGAUAAAGCGGGUGAAAAGCCCGCUCGCCGGAAGACCAAGGGUUCCUGUCCAACGUUAAUCGGGGCAGGGUGAGUCGACCCCUAAGGCGAGGCCGAAAGGCGUAGUCGAUGGGAAACGGGUUAAUAUUCCCGUACUUGGUGUUACUGCGAAGGGGGGACGGAGAAGGCUAUGUUGGCCGGGCGACGGUUGUCCCGGUUUAAGCGUGUAGGCUGGUUUUCCAGGCAAAUCCGGAAAAUCAAGGCUGAGGCGUGACGACGAGGCACUACGGUGCUGAAGCAACAAAUGCCCUGCUUCCAGGAAAAGCCUCUAAGCAUCAGGUAACAUCAAAUCGUACCCCAAACCGACACAGGUGGUCAGGUAGAGAAUACCAAGGCGCUUGAGAGAACUCGGGUGAAGGAACUAGGCAAAAUGGUGCCGUAACUUCGGGAGAAGGCACGCUGACAUGUAGGUGAAGUGAUUUACUCAUGGAGCUGAAGUCAGUCGAAGAUACCAGCUGGCUGCAACUGUUUAUUAAAAACACAGCACUGUGCAAACACGAAAGUGGACGUAUACGGUGUGACGCCUGCCCGGUGCCGGAAGGUUAAUUGAUGGGGUCAGCGCAAGCGAAGCUCCUGAUCGAAGCCCCGGUAAACGGCGGCCGUAACUAUAACGGUCCUAAGGUAGCGAAAUUCCUUGUCGGGUAAGUUCCGACCUGCACGAAUGGCGUAAUGAUGGCCAGGCUGUCUCCACCCGAGACUCAGUGAAAUUGAACUCGCUGUGAAGAUGCAGUGUACCCGCGGCAAGACGGAAAGACCCCGUGAACCUUUACUAUAGCUUGACACUGAACAUUGAGCCUUGAUGUGUAGGAUAGGUGGGAGGCUUUGAAGCGUGGACGCCAGUCUGCGUGGAGCCGACCUUGAAAUACCACCCUUUAAUGUUUGAUGUUCUAACGUGGACCCGUAAUCCGGGUUGCGGACAGUGUCUGGUGGGUAGUUUGACUGGGGCGGUCUCCUCCUAAAGAGUAACGGAGGAGCACGAAGGUUGGCUAAUCCUGGUCGGACAUCAGGAGGUUAGUGCAAUGGCAUAAGCCAGCUUGACUGCGAGCGUGACGGCGCGAGCAGGUGCGAAAGCAGGUCAUAGUGAUCCGGUGGUUCUGAAUGGAAGGGCCAUCGCUCAACGGAUAAAAGGUACUCCGGGGAUAACAGGCUGAUACCGCCCAAGAGUUCAUAUCGACGGCGGUGUUUGGCACCUCGAUGUCGGCUCAUCACAUCCUGGGGCUGAAGUAGGUCCCAAGGGUAUGGCUGUUCGCCAUUUAAAGUGGUACGCGAGCUGGGUUUAGAACGUCGUGAGACAGUUCGGUCCCUAUCUGCCGUGGGCGCUGGAGAACUGAGGGGGGCUGCUCCUAGUACGAGAGGACCGGAGUGGACGCAUCACUGGUGUUCGGGUUGUCAUGCCAAUGGCACUGCCCGGUAGCUAAAUGCGGAAGAGAUAAGUGCUGAAAGCAUCUAAGCACGAAACUUGCCCCGAGAUGAGUUCUCCCUGAGACUUUAGGUCUCCUGAAGGAACGUUGAAGACGACGACGUUGAUAGGCCGGGUGUGUAAGCGCAGCGAUGCGUUGAGCUAACCGGUACUAAUGAACCGUGAGGCUUAACCUUACAACGCCGAAG